AGGAAGUCAUCUUUUGGGAAAUAGAAUCUGGAACCGGUUGUGGAACCAGAAGCAGAUCAUUAGGAAUCAGUUGUAACCCUAAUUUUGUGUUCUUCCCCAAAUUGGCAAUAGAAUCUUUCUUCCUAGCAUGGAAUCUCAGUGAUUAUGGGUUAGAAUUCAGUUUUCUAUUCUUUUCCUAUCUCUGAUUUCUGCUAGUGUUAACACUGGUAUUAGAGCACCAGCCUGGUGCUUGAAACCCACACAUUCUACAACUCUGCAUGGUCCUGCCAAGGAAAAUGGCAAGAAGCCAAUCCAGUUGGAAUCAAGAACGAGAAGAAUUGCGACAGGAAAGAGAGGAAUUGCGCACCCCAUUGGAGCUGAACAAAGCUCGAACGAAGAAAGCAGAGGAUCUCAUCGCUGCACUCGAAGCCAGGCUCGGCGAUCGGAGAAGGGAACUCUUCGAUGAAGAAAGCAGGGAGAUUGGACGGGAUCGCGAGAAUCGCCUGCAAAUUCCGACCAAUAAUCGGUGGCGGAAAUUGGAAAUCCCAAUCUUCUCAGGUGACGAUGCGCUUCGGUUGGACACAGAGGCUAGAGAGGUAUUUCUCACUGAGGGAAGUUUCAGAGGAAGAAAGGAUGCAAGCAACACUAGUAGCCUUGGAAGGACGUGCUCUCAGCUGGUUCUAGUGGUGGGAGCGUUGCAACCCUUCACACCCAUGGGAAAGCUUUGAACUAGCAGUGGUUCGUUUGAGGAAUUCGGAGGACUUGUGGAGGAAGAUCGUGAAGGAAAGUUCAAGGAGCGAGCUGGAAAAUCAACAGUUGAGUAUGGCGGACUGGUACGAGACGGUCGUCCCUUCGGGGGGGACCAGGUUUGAGAUGUUGGACCAAGACACCCCAAGCUCAUGGGUGGUCGACCCCGCCGGCCACCGAGCUAUCUAUUCAGGGCGAAUAAUGGAGGAUCGCAUUGACCGGAUGCCAAGCCUGACGCACGGAGUCUGGAGGCACUACACUAUCAGCUUCAACUUGCCACCGGGUGUACACUGCGGACCUGGACUGGGAGUUCCACCACCACCGUCGCCUUCGGACGACGAGUACCCCUCGGAGGAGGUGCCUGUGGGAGGGACUUCUUCAGGCACUAAAUCACCCACUGUCGCGGCUGCUAUAGACUUGGGAUCGGGUGCAGAACCCGCUCGACCAGCUGUGGAGACCGAUGCAGUCAUCGACAUAGUCGUCUUGGAUUUAGAUUCAGACGACGAUCUUGGGGAUGCAUAGUUGGGAUUAGUGUAGGAGUAGCGUCUUGGCUCUGAUGUUCAGUCUUUCGUUUUGGGCAGGGUAGGUCCCCGACCUUUAGCUUUUCUUGUGGUUCUCUUUACGGAAAUCACAGAGAGUUGGUUGGACUAGGGGGUCUUGUUUUAGGCCAUCUGGGCUGACUUAUUCUCAUUUUGAGGGUUUGUGUUGCAGACACUUAACCUUUUCUUUUGGAUUGUACCUUUUGCCUUCGGGCGUUACUCUAUUUUGCUGUCCGUCACUGGAGGGUUACUCGUGACGUGGUUUACUACUUACAGCGGGGGCUGUAACUAUUAUUGUAUAUUAGUUUUGUUA